UACGAAGGGUGCAAGCGUUACUCGGAAUUACUGGGCGUAAAGGGUGCGUAGGUGGUUUGUCGCGUCUGCUGUGAAAACCUAAGGCUCAACCUUGGGCUUGCAGUGGGUACGGGCAGACUAGAGUGCGGUAGGGGUGACUGGAAUUCCUGGUGUAGCGGUGGAAUGCGCAGAUAUCAGGAGGAACACCGAUGGCGAAGGCAGGUCACUGGGCCGCAACUGACGCUGAGGCACGAAAGCGUGGGGAGCAAACAGG
rnacentral:rRNA from 1 species